CGGAGCUGACGUACGCCGGUAGCGUACGGGCCCCAUCCAUCAUGGCCGACGGGGGAGGGGAGGCGGGAGCGAGCGCAGUGUGCCCCCCGCCGCUGCAGGGGCUGCAGCUGGUGCAGCAGGGGGCCGAGGCGCGGCUCUACCGGGGACAGUUCCUGGGCCGGCCGGCUGUGGUCAAGCUCCGCUUCCCCAAGCGCUACCGGCACCCGGCGCUGGAGGAGCGGCUGAGCCGGCGGCGGACGGCGCAGGAGGCCCGCUCCUUGCUGCGCUGCCGCCGGGCAGGGAUUUCUGCACCAGUGGUUUACUUUGUGGAUUAUGUCUCCAACUGUAUAUAUCUUGAAGAUAUCGCAGGAUCAACUACAGUUCGGGAUUAUAUAACUUCUGUACAGCAAAGUGGAAAUGAUACCAGCAACCUCUUUCUCUUAGCAGAAAAGAUAGGUGAGGUUUUGGCACGAAUGCAUGAUGAUGAUCUUAUCCAUGGAGAUCUUACAACUUCCAACAUGCUUUUGCGACCACCAGUAGAAGAGCUGGACCUGGUGCUGAUAGAUUUUGGACUGAGUUUUAUUUCUGGUCUUCCUGAGGAUAAAGGAGUCGAUUUGUAUGUUUUGGAGAAAGCUUUUCUGAGUACUCAUCCAAACACAGACACUCUGUUUGAAGCCCUGCUGAAGAAGUACUCGACUACAUCUAAAAAAUCAAGCCCUGUGAUCAAAAAGCUGGAUGAAGUACGACUAAGAGGAAGAAAGAGAUCCAUGGUUGGAUAGAAGAAAGCAGAGUUUGUGGGAGGGUAGGGGAAAUGUAACUUCCUGUGGUGUGCAAAUGUGCUUAUGUUUAUUAAUUGUUUGGUCUUAUUUAAUAAUUCACCAUAUUGGUAGCUUUCAUUGUCUUACAAGUGUACAAUAAAUCAGUUUAAUCCAGCAUGGUGGUCAUCCUUGUACAGCCAUCUGACAAGUGGUUCAGAGUAACCAAGUUAAAGACAGGUGAUGGGAGUGCAGGUGGGAAAGUAACAGCUGAGGUGGGAACAGUUGCUUUUCUUGUCUCCUAACUAUCAGAUAUCCCUUUUUUAAAACAAAAUCCAAUAUUUGUAGUGUUUUUUGCUAUGCAAACAUAGAGCUUGUAUUGUUAGAGCAUUAAAAACGUAAUGUGCUUAUUGCAGUAAA